rnacentral:rRNA from 1 species
CCGCAGUAAUACGUAGGGUGCGAGCGUUAAUCGGAAUUACUGGGCGUAAAGGGUGCGCAGGCGGCUUUGUAAGUCAGAUGUGAAAUCCCCGGGCUUAACCUGGGAAUUGCGUUUGAAACUACAAGGCUAGAGUGUGGCAGAGGGAGGUGGAAUUCCAUGUGUAGCAGUGAAAUGCGUAGAGAUAUGGAAGAACAUCGAUGGCGAAGGCAGCCUCCUGGGUUAACACUGACGCUCAUGCACGAAAGCGUGG